UAGACUAGUGAGAACUGGGCUUAGAGGAGUCAGUGUAAAGGGAAGGCUAAGGAUGCGCCGGUUCUGGAGAGUAGAGAAAAACGCCUUCUCCUCUACCCCUCCAGGCACCUUAUUUAAAAAAACAACAACCUUUUAUUUAAAAGUCUAACCUUGGGAGUUUGCUGGUCCUCUAAUUAAACAAGCUGAACACUGUUCCGCCACACACAGCGGGAACACUGCAAGGUAAACAGAAAUGUGUGUUAGAGGAGAAGAAAACCCUGCAGAAUUCAUGUCUGGUGCAAUCUCUGGAGAGAGGAGGCCGAGUGGACUAUGAACUGGGUUUGUUUUGAUGGCCUUAGGGGGUAACCACACCUGUUCAACUGACCACAGCAACUGUUACAAAAGAACACAACGAAUUGAGUGUCUUACAGUUCCGAGGCUCAGUUCAUUAUCAUCAUGAUGGGUGAUGGGACCCACCAUGCAGGCAGACAUGGUGCUGGAGAGGGAAAACUUGGUGGAUAUUGUCCAGGAUCCUGAUGUGUCUGCUCACUGGUGACAUCUGCCCCUUCUCAUAUUUCCUGAGUCAACAUGACCACUCCUCACUUUGAAGUGACUGGAGACAUUCUCCGUUACAGUGAGACUAGAAGAAAGAAGAGAAAUGUCGUGACCUGUGCCACGACUCUCCUUAGCUUCUAAAUUACGCUACUCUGUGAGGGAUUCUCUUCUUUAUCAUGGCGAGUGCUAAUAGCUGCCAAUGAAGGACGGUCCUCUUGCCAAUUGGCACUUAUCAAAGGACGUUGAGGGAGAGGGACAGAGUGCCUAGAUAUGAGCCUUCACCAAGCCUUAGGAAGACCUUUCUGCAACAGGAAGCGCUCGGAUGAAGAAAUGAUGCUUUGGAUAGGAUUUUCCUCCAAACUGGUGCUGUUCAGGGGUUGGCAAGAAGGGUCCCUGGGAUCUGUCUUCCCCAUUGCUUAUUCCAAUCAAUAAAGUUCUGUUGGAUGUAGA